CAAAUAUGGCCACAUUUCCAAGCACUGGGGGUCAGGAGGCCCCUGUAGCCUUUUCGGGACACACCUUAUGAUGCUGGCCCCAUUGCCCUUCCAUGGUGGCUGAGCAGGUGGGGACCCCACCCAGUCCUGUGCUCUCGCUGCUCACCUGCCUGCCAGGGUGGGGUGGGGCAGGUGGCUCUGGGAGCCCCUUUCUCACUGGUACCAGGUGGCAGAGCCCACGGGCCUGAGCGCCCUGCAGCCGAGCUGCCCGUGCUGACCCUGGCCCUCCUUAGGCCAUGCGGACCCUCAGUUGGAAGCACACCCUGGGCCUGGUGACCAUGGACGUGGAGCUGGCCGACCGCACGCUGUCUGUGGCGGUCACCCCAGUACAGGCGGUGAUCUUGCUGUAUUUUCAGGACCAAGCUGGACCCUGGAGGAACUGAGCAAGGCGGUGAAGAUGCCCGUGGCGCUGCUGCGGCGGCGGAUGUCCGUGUGGCUGCAGCAGGGUGUGCUGCGUGAGGAGCCCCCCGGCACCUUCUCUGUCAUUGAGGAGGAGCGGCCUCAGGACCGGGACAACAUGGUGCUCAUUGACAGUGACGACGAGAGCGACUCCGGCAU
rnacentral:lncRNA from 1 species